rnacentral:sRNA from 1 species
CCUGUCCCAAAAUGCCGAACCCCUACGGAGCGAGAUGGCGGCUGUAUGCACAUGGUCUGCACACGCGCUGGCUGCGGAUUCGAGUGGUGCUGGGUCUGCCAGACUGAGUGGACACGCGACUGUAUGGGUGCCCACUGGUUCGGCUAGUCCUUCGUCAUCGUCGUAUGUCGCCCCGACGGGCUUCUUUUGUUGGUUGACUACUUUUAAAUUGUAUACCAUAGUAAAGACUGCUUAAGCAACA